rnacentral:rRNA from 1 species
AGUGAACGCUGGCGGUAGGCCUAACACAUGCAAGUCGAACGGCAGCACAGUAAGAGCUUGCUCUUACGGGUGGCGAGUGGCGGACGGGUGAGGAAUACAUCGGAAUCUACUUUUUCGUGGGGGAUAACGUAGGGAAACUUACGCUAAUACCGCAUACGACCUACGGGUGAAAGCAGGGGAUCUUCGGACCUUGCGCGAUUGAAUGAGCCGAUGUCGGAUUAGCUAGUUGGCGGGGUAAAGGCCCACCAAGGCGACGAUCCGUAGCUGGUCUGAGAGGAUGAUAGGCCACACUGGAACUGAGACACGGUCCAGACUCCUACGGGAGGCAGCAGUGGGGAAUAUUGGACAAUGGGCGCAAGCCUGAUCCAGCCAUACCGCGUGGGUGAAGAAGGCCUUCGGGUUGUAAAGCCCUUUUGUUGGGAAAGAAAAGCAGCAGGUUAAUACCCCGCUGUUCUGACGUUACCCAAAGAAUAAGCACCGGCUAACUUCGUG